rnacentral:rRNA from 2 species
UACGAAGGGGGCUAGCGUUGUUCGGAUUUACUGGGCGUAAAGCGCACGUAGGCGGAUCGUUAAGUGAGGGGUGAAAUCCCAGGGCUCAACCCUGGAACUGCCUUUCAUACUGGCGAUCUUGAGUCCGGAAGAGGUGAGUGGAACUCCUAGUGUAGAGGUGGAAUUCGUAGAUAUUAGGAAGAACACCAGUGGCGAAGGCGGCUCACUGGUCCGGUACUGACGCUGAGGUGCGAAAGCGUGGGGAGCAAACAGG